rnacentral:piRNA from 1 species
UUCCNCCUGCUAGUUGCAGAUGUUUGCCACU